UACGUAGGGUGCAAGCGUUGUCCGGAAUUAUUGGGCGUAAAGAGCUCGUAGGCGGUCUGUCGCGUCUGCUGUGAAAACUCGGGGCUUAACCCCGGGCCUGCAGUGGGUACGGGCAGACUAGAGUGCGGUAGGGGAGACUGGAAUUCCUGGUGUAGCGGUGAAAUGCGCAGAUAUCAGGAGGAACACCGGUGGCGAAGGCGGGUCUCUGGGCAGUAACUGACGCUGAGGAGCGAAAGCGUGGGGAGCGAAUAGG
rnacentral:rRNA from 1 species